rnacentral:rRNA from 1 species
ACCACCAAGGGAUUGCCCCAGUAGCGGCGAGUGAAGCGGCAAGAGCUCAGAUUUGAAAUCGUGUUUCGGCACGAGUUGUAGAGUGUAGGCGGGAGUUCUCUGUGGAGCGCGGUGUCCAAGUCCCUUGGAACAGGGUGCCUGAGAGGGUGAGAGCCCCGUAGGGUGCUGCGCGAAGCUUUUGAGGCCCUGCUGACGAGUCGAGUUGUUUGGGAAUGCAGCUCCAAGCGGGUGGUAAAUUCCAUCUAAGGCUAAAUAUUGGCGAGAGACCGAUAGCGAACAAGUACUGUGAAGGAAAGAUGAAAAGCACUUUGAAAAGAGAGUGAAACAGCACGUGAAAUUGUUGAAAGGGAAGGGUAUUGGGCUCGACAUGGGGGGUGCGCACCGCUGUCUCUUGUAGGCGGCGCUCUGGGCGCCCUCUGGGCCAGCAUCGGUUCCUGCUGCGGGAGAAGGGGCUCCGGAAAGUGGCUCUUCGGAGUGUUAUAGCCGGGGCCAGAUGCCGCGUGUGGGAACCGAGGACUGCGGCUUCUGUCUCGGAUGCUGGCAUAACGGCGCAAUACCGC